rnacentral:rRNA from 1 species
CAUCGCGCUCAUCAUCGUGCUUCUGCUGAUCACCUUCGUCCCCGCGAUAACGCUGUUCCUGCCAGGCCUGAUGACGUAGCUGCGCCAGCAGCAGCGCUCUCACAGCCAUCUCUGGUCU